GUGGGGAAUCUUGCGCAAUGGGCGAAAGCCUGACGCAGCGACGCCGCGUGAGUGAUGAAGGCCUUCGGGUUGUAAAGCUCUGUGGGGCGAGAAGAAUUAGUGCAGCCUAAUACGUUGCAUGAUGACGGUAUCGCCUUAGCAAGCACCGGCUAACUCUGUGCCAGCAGCCGCGGUAAGACAGAGGGUGCAAACGUUGUUCGGAAUUACUGGGCGUAAAGCGAGUGUAGGCGGUCUCGUAAGUCGGAUGUGAAAGCCCCGGGCUCAACCCGGGAAGUGCACUCGAAACUGCGAGGCUAGAGUAUCGGAGAGGUUGGUGGAAUUCUCGGUGUAGAGGUGAAAUUCGUAGAUAUCGAGAGGAACACCGGUGGCGAAGGCGGCCAACUGGACGAAUACUGACGCUGAGACUCGAAAGCGUGGGGAGCAAACAGGAUUAGAUACCCGUGUAGUCC
rnacentral:rRNA from 1 species